UACGUAGGUGACAAGCGUUGUCCGGAUUUACUGGGCGUAAAGCGUGCGCAGGCGGUGAUGUAAGACAGGUGUGAAAUCCCCGGGCUUAACCUGGGAACUGCAUUUGUGACUGCAUCGCUGGAGUGCGGCAGAGGGGGAUGGAAUUCCGCGUGUAGCAGUGAAAUGCGUAGAUAUGCGGAGGAACACCGAUGGCGAAGGCAAUCCCCUGGGCCUGUACUGACGCUCAUGCACGAAAGCGUGGGGAGCAAACAGG
rnacentral:rRNA from 1 species